rfam:Tropicibacter naphthalenivorans strain CECT 7648 genome assembly, contig: 0003
GGAUCGAGUGGCGCGCGGUGGGACGCGUGCCGAGAAUGGAUCCGGAUUUUUGCCGUCACUGACGAGGCGCGCCGUAGCCCGACGGCGCGUGU